rnacentral:rRNA from 1 species
ACUGCGAGUGAAGCGGGAAAAGCUCAAAUUUAAAAUCUGACGGUCUUUUGGUCGUCCGAGUUGUAAUCUAGAGAAGUGUUAUCCGCGUUGGACCGUGUACAAGUCUCCUGGAAUGGAGCGUCAUAGAGGGUGAGAAUCCCGUCUUUGACACGGACUACCAGUGCUUUGUGAUGCGCUCUCAAAGAGUCGAGUUGUUUGGGAAUGCAGCUCAAAAUGGGUGGUAAAUUCCAUCUAAAGCUAAAUAUUGGCGAGAGACCGAUAGCGAACAAGUACCGUGAGGGAAAGAUGAAAAGAACUUUGGAAAGAGAGUUAAACAGUACGUGAAAUUGCUGAAAGGGAAACGCUUGAAGUCAGUCGCGUUGUCCGGGAAUCAACCUUGCUUUUGCUGGGUGUACUUUCCGGUUGACGGGUCAGCAUCAAUUUUGACCGUUGGAUAAAGUGUAGGGGAAUGUGGCAUCUUUGGAUGUGUUAUAGCCCUUGCUCGCAUACAACGGUUGGGAUUGAGGAACUCAGUACGCCGCAAGGCCGGGAAUUUAUUCUACGUUCGUACUUAGGAUGCUGGCAUAAUGGCUUUAAUCGACCCGUCUUGAAACACGGACCAAGGAGUCUAACAUGCCUGCGAGUGUUUGGGUGGAAAACCCGAGCGCGUAAUGAAAGUGAAAGUUGAGAUCCCUGUCGUGGGGAGCAUCGACGCCCGGACCAGACCUUUUGUGACGGAUCUGCGGUAGAGCAUGUAUGUUGGGACCCGAAAGAUGGUGAACUAUGCCUGAAUAGGGUGAAGCCAGAGGAAACUCUGGUGGAGGCUCGUAGCGAUUCUGACGUGCAAAUCGAUCGUCAAAUUUGGGUAUA